rnacentral:rRNA from 1 species
UACGUACGGUGCGAGCGUUAAUCGGAAUUACUGGGCGUAAAGUGUGCGCAGGCGGCCGAGCAAGUCGAGUGUGAAAGCCCCGAGCUUAACUUGGGAACUGCGCUCGAAACUACUUGGCUAGAGUGUGGCAGAGGGAGGUGGAAUUCCACGUGUAGCGGUGAAAUGCGUAGAGAUGUGGAGGAACACCGAUGGCGAAGGCAGCCUCCUGGGCCAACACUGACGCUCAUGCACGAAAGCGUGGGGAGCAAACAGG